UGAUAUGUUUGAUAUUGGGUUGUUUAAUUAGGAAUCAACUAAAUAUCGAACAUAUUCUUA
rnacentral:pre_miRNA from 1 species